ACACCGAAAGACUAAGGUUUCCUGAUCAACGCUAAUCGGAUCAGGGUUAGUCGGGGCCUAAGACAAACCCGAAAGGGGUAGUCGAUGGACAACUGUUUAAUAUUACAGUACCAGCUUUCAUUAAAAAGGGGACGGAACAUUAUAAGAUUCGCGUACUGACGGAAUAGUACGUUAAAUCCUGCUAGGCAGGAGAUAGUACACCAAGCCUUCGGGUGAGGUGAUAGUAAUCGGAUCGUGUUUCCAAGAAAAGCCGAAGAAAGCUGCCCGUACCGCAAACCGACACAGGUAGUCGAGGAGAGAAUCCAAAGGUGCUCGAGUGAAUCAUGGCUAAGGAACUAGGCAAAUUAACCCUGUAACUUCGGGAGAAAGGGUCCCUACAGCAAUGUAGGGCGCAGUGAAACGGCCCAGGCGACUGUUUAUCAAAAACACAUGGCUCUGCUAAAUCGAAAGAUGACGUAUAGGGCCUGACACCUGCCCGGUGCUGGAAGGUUAAGAGGAGAGGUUAGGAGUAAUCCGAAGCUUUGAAUUGAAGCCCCAGUAAACGGCGGCCGUAACUAUAACGGUCCUAAGGUAGCGAAAUUCCUUGUCGGGUAAGUUCCGACCUGCACGAAUGGUGUAACGAUCUGGGCACUGUCUCAGCCAUGAACUCGGUGAAAUUGUAGAUCCGGUGAAGAUGCCGGAUACCCGCAACGGGACGAGAAGACCCCGUGAACCUUCACUACAGCUUAACAUUGACAUUGGAUAAACAAUGUGUAGGAUAGGUGGGAGGCUGCGAAGCGGUUUCGCCAGGAAUCGUGGAGCCACCGUUGAAAUACCACCCUUUGUUUAUUCGAUGCCUAAUCCCGGUUAUUCGGGAGACAGUGUUUGGUGGGUAGUUUGACUGGGGUGGUCGCCUCCAAAAGCGUAUCGGAGGCUUCCAAAGGUACCCUCAGCAUGCUUGGUAACCAUGCGUAGAGUGCAAUAGCAUAAGGGUGCUUGACUGUGAGACUUACAAGUCGAGCAGGAACGAAAGUUGGGUAUAGUGAUCCGGCGGUUCCGUAUGGAAGGGCCGUCGCUCAAAGGAUAAAAGGUACUCCGGGGAUAACAGGCUGAUCACUCCCAAGAGCUCACAUCGACGGAGUGGUUUGGCACCUCGAUGUCGGCUCGUCACAUCCUGGGGCUGAAGAAGGUCCCAAGGGUUCGGCUGUUCGCCGAUUAAAGUGGCACGCGAGCUGGGUUCAGAACGUCGCGAGACAGUUCGGUCUCUAUCUGUUGUGGGCGUUGGAAACUUGAGAGGACCUGACCUUAGUACGAGAGGACCGGGUUGGACAAACCUCUGGUGUAUCUGUUGUAGCGCCAGCUGCAUCGCAGAGUAGCUAUGUUUGGAUGAGAUAAGUGCUGAAAGCAUCUAAGCACGAAACUCACCUCAAGAUGAGGUUUCCUUUAAGGGCCGUUCAAGACUAGGACGUUGAUAGGCUGCAGGUGUAAAGAUGGUAACAUCUGAGCCGAGCAGUACUAAUUGCCCGAAAGCUUUCUACA
rnacentral:rRNA from 1 species